rnacentral:rRNA from 1 species
AACGAACGCUGGCGGCAUGCCUAACACAUGCAAGUCGAACGAGACCUUCGGGUCUAGUGGCGCACGGGUGCGUAACGCGUGGGAACCUGCCCUUAGGUUCGGAAUAACUCCCCGAAAGGGGUGCUAAUACCGGAUAAUGUCUUCGGACCAAAGAUUUAUCGCCUUUGGAUGGGCCCGCGUUGGAUUAGCUAGUUGGUAGGGUAAAAGCCUACCAAGGCGACGAUCCAUAGCUGGUCUGAGAGGAUGAUCAGCCACACUGGGACUGAGACACGGCCCAGACUCUUACGGGAAGCAGCAGGGGGGAAUAUUGGACGAUGGGCGAAAGCCUGAGCCAGCAAUGCCGUGUGAGUGAUGAAGGCCGUAGGGUGGUAAAGCUCUUUUACCCGGGAUGAUAAUGACAGUACCGGGAGAAUAAGCUCCGGCUAACUCCGUG